UGGCGAACGGGUGAGUAACACGUGAGCAACCUGCCCCUGACUCUGGGAUAAGCGCUGGAAACGGCGUCUAAUACUGGAUAUGUGACGUGACCGCAUGGUCUGCGUUUGGAAAGAUUUUUCGGUAGGGGAUGGGCUCGCGGCCUAUCAGCUUGGUUGGGUUGAGGGUAAUGGCUCACCAAGGCGUCGACGGGUAGCCGGCCUGAGAGGGUGACCGGCCACACUGGGACUGAGACACGGCCCAGACUCCUACGGGAGGCAGCAGUGGGGAAUAUUGCACAAUGGGCGAAAGCCUGAUGCAGCAACGCCGCGUGAGGGAUGACGGCCUUCGGGUUGUAAACCUCUUUUAGCAGGGAAGAAGCGAAAGUGACGGUACCUGCAGAAAAAUGCGCCGGCUAACUACGUGCCAGCAGCCGGCGGGUAAUACGUAGGGCGCAAGCGUUAUCCGGAAUUAUUGGGCGUAAAGAGCUCGUAAGCGGUUUGUCGCGUCUGCUGUGAAAUCCCGAGGCUCAACCUCGGGCCUGCAGUGGCUACGGGCAGACUAGAGUGCGGUAGGGGAGAUUGGAAUUCCUGGUGUAGCGGUGGAAUGCGCAGAUAUCAGGAGGAACACCGAUGGCGAAGGCAGAUCUCUGGGCCGUAACUGACGCUGAGGAGCGAAAGGGUGGGGAGCAAACAGGCUUAGAUACCCUGGUAGUCCACCCCGUAAACGUUGGGAACUAGUUGUGGGGUCCAUUCCACGGAUUCCGUGACGCA
rnacentral:rRNA from 1 species